rnacentral:rRNA from 1 species
UGCCGAAUCAAUCAGCCCUGAAAAUGGAUGGCGCUAAAGCGUUCCACCGAUACUCGACCGUCGUCGGCAGGCGACGUGCAUGCCACGUCUCAAGCCACGACGAGUAGGGCGGCGCAGUGGUGAGCGUUGAAGGCGUAGCCGUGAGGCUAGCUGGAGCCGCCAUUGGUGCAGAUCUUGGUGGUAGUAGCAAAUACACAAGCAAGAUCCUUGUGGACCGAUGUGGAGAAGGGUUCCGCGCGAACAGUACUUGGACGUGGGUGAGUCGGCCCUAAGCCAACGGGUAAUUCCCGCAUCCCGUGUUCACCGUUUCUGAAUCNAACAACAUGGGUUGAUGGCGAAAGGGAAUGCGGUCAAUAUUCCGCAACCGGACGCGGGCACAAUGCUCACUCUGUGGGCACGUCGCGGCGACGCCAACAGACUCGGUCUCGCUGACCAUGACCCGAGGUAGAGUUUUCUAUUCUAGUUGAGGGUUCCGGCCGUGGAAGCUAUUCGCUAUG